CAUAAAGAUUGAGACCUAUUAAUGAAUGUUUCUUUAUCUUUUAAGGAACUCUCCACUUGAACAGCAGCUGGUUUACAUCCAAAAAAAAAUCAUGGAGAAUUUAGCUUUCCUUUGGGGGUUGCUAUAGAACUACAGAAAUGAGGAUUCAAUACCAUGUGAUCAGCCUGCUCCCUGUGAAUCAUCUACAAGUGCUCUUGUGACCACCAUGGGAAAACCUCCCUGUAGAGGAAUACUGUACUAAUCAAGCCCCCAUCCUCCGCCGCUAUCCCUUAUGAUGACAGGAUAAGAGGAUAAAGCAGUUUUCUAUUAUUCACAAGGAUGCAGGAACAAAUUCAGAAUUUCCAUAAACAAUGGUGCAAGUUUUAUGUUACUUUGUCAACAUAAGGCAGUGCAGGGUAUAACUUGCAUGCUGAGAAGGUGGGAUUGUUGAAGGAAAAGCAACUAGCAAGAGGAUACAAGAAGGCCAAGUAUACCCACGGUCUGCACCAGCUUAUACUUGGAAAGAAUUUUACUGCAGUAUAAGUAAAGAUCACUUUACAUGCUUUUCCAAGAGUCCUGCAGUUCACCAGUGCAGCCCUACAGGUACACAGUGACUGGAGAGGGGCUGGGCAAUGCAUUCAUUGAAUGCAUCUCUUCAGCAGCCUCCACUUGUGGAAUCUCUGGGGGAAAUAAAUUGCCCUUUCCCAGUAGAAACCCUGAAGGAGGGCAGGUGUCAGGCUGACGUAGGAGGUCUCCAGGGCAGUAGUCAGGCUGAUGUAGGAUGUGUAAUAUGGAGACUGCUGAAAGAAAAUGGGGCCUUACUUCCUAUAGGGAACUAUGGUAGGAGUACUCACAGGGCUAGGUGGUCUAGUGGUUAGCAAACCUUCCCGCUACACUCUUUUGAGGAUAAUAGUGUUUGAGCCUUCUCCCAGCAUCUGUGUUUUUGCCAUUAUGUAGGGCAUGGUAAGGGGGAACCCUUCCCUCCAUCUCCACCAAGUCACAGCAUAGGGUCCCGUGGAAUGUAACACUGGCACAUUCCU